GUGGCCCCUUACGGGGAGCCCCGGGACACUCGGGGGUCGGUUUGAGGUGCUAAGGGAACACAGCACCAGGCAACCUGCAAGAACAACCAAUCAGGUACCAACAGACCAGCAGUGAUGGUGCCUCAUUCACCUGUCAAUCAGCGAGGUUUCCUGACCAAUCCUGGAAGGACAUGGAUCUCAGCGAGAUCCCCCAACCAACCCCUGGAGGACAAGGGACUCUAAAAACCUCCCUUUCCUGUCCCAAGCCCUCCCUUCCUGCCCUAAACCCAAUAAUAUUCCAAUCUGGCUGAGCAGGGGUGCGAUUCUCCCGACCCGCUCUGCUGGACUGGAGGGUCUCGCUGGGGAGUGAAUCUCAAUAAAGCCUUGUUCAGCUGCUUUUAA